GACGAACGCUGGCGGCGUGCUUAACACAUGCAAGUCGAGCGGUAAGGCCCUUCGGGGUACGACGAGCGGCGAACGGGUGAGUAACACGUGGGUGACCUGCCUCUAGCUCUGGGAUAAGCCUGGGAAACUGGGUCUAAUACCGGAUAUGACUCCACGGCGCAUGUUGUGGGGUGGAAAGCCUUGUGUGGCUAGAGAUGGGCCCGCGGCCUAUCAGCUUGUUGGUGGGGUGGGGCCUACCAAGGCGACGACGGGUAGCCGGCCUGAGAGGGCGACCGGCCACACUGGGACUGAGACACGGGCCCAGACUCCUACGGGAGGCAGCAGUGGGGAAUCUUGCGCAAUGGGCGAAAGCCUGACGCAGCGACGCCGCGUGAGGGAUGACGGCC
rnacentral:rRNA from 1 species